rnacentral:rRNA from 1 species
GAUGGACGCUGGCGGCGUGCUUAACACAUGCAAGUCGAACGGAAAGGCUCCUGCUUGCAGGGGUACUCGAGUGGCGAACGGGUGAGUAACACGUGGGUGAUCUGCCCAGCACUUCGGGAUAAGCCUGGGAAACUGGGUCUAAUACCGGAUAGGACGAUGGUUUGGAUGCCAUUGUGGAAAGUUUUUUCGGUGUGGGAUGAGCUCGCGGCCUAUCAGCUUGUUGGUGGGGUAAUGGCCUACCAAGGCGUCGACGGGUAGCCGGCCUGAGAGGGUGUACGGCCACAUUGGGACUGAGAUACGGCCCAGACUCCUACGGGAGGCAGCAGUGGGGAAUAUUGCACAAUGGGCGCAAGCCUGAUGCAGCGACGCCGCGUGGGGGAUGACGGCCUUCGGGUUGUAAACUCCUUUCGCUAGGGACGAAGCGCAAGUGACGGUACCUGGAGAAGAAGCACCGGCUAACUACGUG